AUAGACGCGGAAAGAAUUCGGAAAAUCCCAUUGUCUGAACACUUGUCGGAAGACUUUGUAGCAUGGCAUGCCACAAAGUCGUUUUGCUUUUCAGUGAGAUCUGCGUACUAUAUUGAAUGGGAGCAUCAAUUUGGAGCAAGAUUAGGCCGAGAGCAACCACAAACAUCUAGAGAUAAUCCGGUUUGGGAUGUCCCGUGGAAGCUACAUGUACCGAGUAAAGUCAAAAAUUUUGUUUGGCGAGCACUACAUGGAGUGGUUCCAGGGAAGUGCAUAUUGCAUAAUCGACAUAUUAAGGUCAGUCCCGAGUGCCCUUUGUGUCGAGAGGGUCCUGAAGAUAUCCGGCAUUUAUUAUUCACUUGCGCACGAGCUCGCAAAGUCUGGAAGUCAUUGGGUCUCAUUGAAGUUGUGGAUACAGCCCUAAAAAGUGAUCAAUCGGGAUCUGUGGUGAUGGAGGAAAUCUUGCGACUCCCGCAAAGAAAAUCACCGGUACUUGGACACUUGGGUUUACAGGAAACGGUUGCCGUAGCUGCGUGGUAUAUUUGGUGGGAACGUCGGGAAGCCGUGAAGGGCGAGUCGACUAAGCAGGCCGCUAGUUCAGCCUUUUCUAUUCAAGCGAUCACAGUUAACCAUGCUCCGAAGCAGAAUAAUCUGAUCCUAGAAAAGACAUGGAAAAAACCACAACCGGGGUCAUACAAGUUGAAUAUUGAUGCGUGUUUCUUCGAUGAUGGUGCAGGUGCAGUAGCGGCAAUCUUGCGCAACUGUCGUGGAGAAGCGAUCGCAGGAGCUUCUGAAACGUUUGAUCAUGCAUACAAUGCACAGGCUGCUGAAACACUAGCAUUACGGAGAAGGCUCCAAAUGAUAUCUGAUAUGGGAUGUUCAACAGUUGAAGUGGAAUCCGAUUGUUUGGAACUGAUGGAUGCAUGCAACGGAAAGAUAGAUAUUCGAGGACCUAAUUCCUCAUUACUUGCAGAUUGCUUUCACUUGGCUCAUAUGGUAUUACAUCAAUCUCUUUCAAUCACUGUCCCAGGGAAGCAAACAGGUUGGCACACUUUCUGGCUAGGACUUGUUUCGAGUCUAAGACUAGUUGUGUUUGCUUAG
rnacentral:rRNA from 1 species